rnacentral:rRNA from 1 species
GAUGAACGCUGGCGGCGUGCCUAAUACAUGCAAGUCGAGCGAACGGACGAGAAGCUUGCUUCUCUGAUGUUAGCGGCGGACGGGUGAGUAACACGUGGAUAACCUACCUAUAAGACUGGGAUAACUUCGGGAAACCGGAGCUAAUACCGGAUAAUAUUUUGAACCGCAUGGUUCAAAAGUGAAAGACGGUCUUGCUGUCACUUAUAGAUGGAUCCGCGCUGCAUUAGCUAGUUGGUAAGGUAACGGCUUACCAAGGCAACGAUGCAUAGCCGACCUGAGAGGGUGAUCGGCCACACUGGAACUGAGACACGGUCCAGACUCCUACGGGAGGCAGCAGUAGGGAAUCUUCCGCAAUGGGCGAAAGCCUGACGGAGCAACGCCGCGUGAGUGAUGAAGGUCUUCGGAUCGUAAAACUCUGUUAUUAGGGAAGAACAUAUGUGUAAGUAACUGUGCACAUCUUGACGGUACCUAAUCAGAAAGCCACGGCUAACUACGUGCCAGCAGCCGCGGUAAUACGUAGGUGGCAAGCGUUAUCCGGAAUUAUUGGGCGUAAAGCGCGCGUAGGCGGUUUUUUAAGUCUGAUGUGAAAGCCCACGGCUCAACCGUGGAGGGUCAUUGGAAACUGGAAAACUUGAGUGCAGAAGAGGAAAGUGGAAUUCCAUGUGUAGCGGUGAAAUGCGCAGAGAUAUGGAGGAACACCAGUGGCGAAGGCGACUUUCUGGUCUGUAACUGACGCUGAUGUGCGAAAGCGUGGGGAUCAAACAGGAUUAGAUACCCUGGUAGUCCACGCCGUAAACGAUGAGUGCUAAGUGUUAGGGGGUUUCCGCCCCUUAGUGCUGCAGCUAACGCAUUAAGCACUCCGCCUGGGGAGUACGACCGCAAGGUUGAAACUCAAAGGAAUUGACGGGGACCCGCACAAGCGGUGGAGCAUGUGGUUUAAUUCGAAGCAACGCGAAGAACCUUACCAAAUCUUGACAUCCUUUGACAACUCUAGUGAUAGAGCCUUCCCCUUCGGGGGACAAAGUGACAGGUGGUGCAUGGUUGUCGUCAGCUCGUGUCGUGAGAUGUUGGGUUAAGUCCCGCAACGAGCGCAACCCUUAAGCUUAGUUGCCAUCAUUAAGUUGGGCACUCUAAGUUGACUGCCGGUGACAAACCGGAGGAAGGUGGGGAUGACGUCAAAUCAUCAUGCCCCUUAUGAUUUGGGCUACACACGUGCUACAAUGGACAAUACAAAGGGCAGCGAAACCGCGAGGUCAAGCAAAUCCCAUAAAGUUGUUCUCAGUUCGGAUUGUAGUCUGCAACUCGACUACAUGAAGCUGGAAUCGCUAGUAAUCGUAGAUCAGCAUGCUACGGUGAAUACGUUCCCGGGUCU